rnacentral:misc_RNA from 1 species
AACGCACCUUGCGCCCUCUGGUAUUCCGGAGGGCAUGCCUGUUUGAGUGUCAUGAAACUCUCAACCCCCCGGGUUUUACGAUCCGUCGGGUUGGACUUGGGCGCUGCCGCUUUGUUGCCGGCUCGCCUUAAAGGUCUCAGUGGGAUAGUCGGACCCAUGGCUUGGCGUGAUAAGUUUCGCCUCGCCCGUGGCCGACGAUGUCUGCUUACAACACCCCAUAUUCAAUGAUCUGACCUCAAAUCAGGUAGGGCUACCCGCUGAACUUAA